GACGAACGCUGGCGGCGUGCCUAACACAUGCAAGUCGAACGGGGUGAAGCCCUUCGGGACUUUACUUAGUGGCGAACGGGUGAGUAACGCGUGAGGAACCUGCCUUUCAGUGGGGGACAACAGUUGGAAACGACUGCUAAUACCGCAUGACGCUUCUUGGGGGCAUCCCCGGGAAGCCAAAGAUUUAUUGCUGAAAGAUGGCCUCGCGUCUGAUUAGCUGGUUGGUGAGGUAACGGCCCACCAAGGCGACGAUCAGUAGCCGGUCUGAGAGGAUGAACGGCCACAUUGGGACUGAGACACGGCCCAGACUCCUACGGGAGGCAGCAGUGGGGAAUCUUCCG
rnacentral:rRNA from 1 species